AUGGCGACGAAAGAGCAGAUUGUUGAGCACCGCGAGUCUGAAAUUCCUAUAGCCAGCCAGUGGAAGGCCACGUUUCCCGUUGAUCUAGAGAUUGAAAAAAAUUCUGAAAUGUUUGCGCUUCGCUACAUAAAAUGUGCUUCGGCCUUCAUUCUCGAUCGCCGUGGCAUUUUGGACGAAAAAUGCUUCAAAACUCGAACAAUAGAUAAACUGUUGGUCACCGCAUUCCAGAGCAGUGUUCCUGCCGCAAAGCGUGUGUCUUCAACAUUCGACGGAUUGAGAGAUGCGAUUCAACAAGGCUAUUUGCGAGAGUUCGCAAUCGUGUUCUACAAGAAGCCAAACGAGGAAGACAUUAAUGAAGUGUUUGCGUUCAGGUUUGCUUAUGGAGAUGAAGGAGAGAUUUUCGUAUCUCUAAAUAAGUAAGCUGCUGGUCUUAUUCAAUUAUUCGUUUUCAAUUGUUUUCAGCGGAAUCGACACGAACGAAAGCAGUCAAGAACUGUUACAGGCGAAAUUCGUUGAUACCGACAACACGAAACAAAUGUUUGCAAGCACAAUCAAGAAACUUCACCGGUGUAUCAAGAAAAUGGAGCCGCUUCCUCAAGGGUCCGACGCGAGUUUCCGUGUUUCGUACACUGAAAAAGCUCCAAAAGACUAUACACCCGAAGGCUAUCUGCUGAGUCCUAUGUUCUAUACGCUGAAUCAGGAUAUUAGGAAAGCAUCUAUUGGAAUCGUGUGUGGCGGUCAUCACAAAAUUCAAAUGCUUGCUGCUUCACAAUACUUGAAGCAAGACUUCGAUCUGGAUAAAACGACCACACUCAAUCCAAAUAUGUCAAUCAUGGCAAACCAAUCGAAAAGGAAGGGACGAAUUUCCAGAGAUUCCCCUUACGGUCUCAGUCAGGGCAUUACGAAGAAGAAUAAGGACUAG
rnacentral:misc_RNA from 1 species